rnacentral:rRNA from 1 species
UACAGAGGGGGCAAGCGUUGUUCGGAAUUACUGGGCGUAAAGGGCGCGUAGGCGGCCUUCUAAGUCGAACGUGAAAUCCCCGGGCUCAACCCGGGAACUGCGUCCGAUACUGGAAGGCUUGAAUCCGGGAGAGGGAUGUGGAAUUCCAGGUGUAGCGGUGAAAUGCGUAGAGAUCAGGUGGAACACCGAUGGCGAAGGCAGCACUCUGGCCGAAUACUGACGCUGAGGCGCGAAAGCGUGGGAGCGAACGGG